UACAGAGGUCCCAAGCGUUACUGAGAAUCACUGGGUUUAAAGGGUGCGUAGGUGGUCCGUUAAGUCAGUUGUGAAAUCCCCGGGCUCAACUCGGGAACUGCUUCUGAUACUGGCGGACUUGAGGCCAGUAGGGGUCACUAGAACUGACGGUGGAGCGGUGAAAUGCGUAGAGAUCCGGAGGAACACCAAAGGCGAAGGCAGUGUCCUGGGGAGUACCUGACGCUCAGGUGCGAAAGCCAGGGGAGCGAACGGG
rnacentral:rRNA from 1 species